AACGAACGCUGGCGGCAGGCUUAACACAUGCAAGUCGAACGCCCCGCAAGGGGAGUGGCAGACGGGUGAGUAACGCGUGGGAAUCUACCCAUCUCUGCGGAAUAGCUCCGGGAAACUGGAAUUAAUACCGCAUACGCCCUACGGGGGAAAGAUUUAUCGGGGAUGGAUGAGCCCGCGUUGGAUUAGCUCGUUGGUGGGGUAAAGGCCUACCAAGGCGACGAUCCAUAGCUGGUCGGAGAGGAUGAUCAGCCACAUUGGGACUGAGACACGGCCCAAACUCCGACGGGAGGCAGAAGUGGGGAAUAUUGGACAAUGGGCGCAAGCCUGAUCCAGCCAUGCCGCGUGAGUGAUGAAGGCCUUAGGGUUGUAGAGCUCUUUCACCGGUGAAGAUAAUGACGGUAACCGGAGAAGAAGCCCCGGCUAACUUCGUGCCAGCCGCCGCGGUAA
rnacentral:rRNA from 1 species